rnacentral:rRNA from 1 species
AUUGAACGCUGGCGGCAGGCCUAACACAUGCAAGUCGAACGAGUGGCGGACGGGUGAGUAAUGUCUGGGAAACUGCCUGAUGGAGGGGGAUAACUACUGGAAACGGUAGCUAAUACCGCAUACCAUCGGAUGUGCCCAGAUGGGAUUAGCUAGUAGGUGGGGUAAAGGCUCACCUAGGCGACGAUCCCUAGCUGGUCUGAGAGGAGGACCAGCCACACUGGAACUGAGACACGGCCCAGACUCCUACGGGAGGCAGCAGUGGGGAAGUGUGCACAAUGGGAGCAAGCCUGAUGCAGCCAGGCCGCGUGUAUGAAGAAGGCCUUCGGGUUGUAAAGUACUUUCAGCGGGGAGGCGUUACCUGCAGAAUAAGCACCGGCUAACGCCGUGCCAGCCGCCGCGGUAAUAC